AUUCCAGCUCCAAUAGCGUAUAUUAAAGUUGUUGCAGUUAAAAAGCUCGUAGUUGGAUUUCUGGUAGGAGCGACCGUGCCGAACUUGAUUGUUCGUGUAUUGUGUUGUCUUCAGCCAUCCUCGUGGAGAACUUUUCUAACAUUAACUUGUUGGGAUUGGGACCCGCGUCGUUUACUGUGAAAAAAUUAGAGUGUUUAAAGCAGGCAUUAGCUUGAAUACAUUAGCAUGGAAUAAUAAGAUAGGACUUUGGUACUAUUUUGUUGGUUUCUAGAGCUGAGGUAAUGAUUAAUAGGGAUAGUUGGGGGCAUUCGUAUUUAACUGUCAGAGGUGAAAUUCUUGGAUUUUGGAAAGAUGAACUACUGCGAAGGCAUUUACCAAGGAUGUUUUCAUCA
rnacentral:rRNA from 1 species